UGAUUACUCGAGCAGCCGUACUUCAAGUCCAAGCACUCGACACCACAUUUUCGCAGUCUUUUCAGAAAAACGUGCAGUCAAGUUUGCAUCCCCAUCACUCUUUUUAGGACAAAGUGAGCAAAAAUUUCGAUGCUGUCAUGUUGAUUUCGGCGGAUUUGAUCGAGACAUCUAGCAUCUGAACAUCCCCUCAGCGGGAAGGAUGACACUAUAAAAUGAGCUACAAGAAGCCUACAAUACCAUGUAUCAGACAGGCGAAACUUCUGCCUCCUUCAAGUGCUUCAACGCCACACACAUCCUGGACAGACCAAGUACCAUUAUCCGAACGUUUGCGGUGGUGGCCGUUCUCAUGUGAUACCCGACAUUUCCUGAUCCUAAACAAAACAGGCUUCCUUCCCAGUGGUAUAUGCAGUUCAUCAAGAAAAAAAUAUUCCUACGAAUGGCCACCCUGAGAGUUCAAAUUUGUGGUUACCAAUUUAAAAGCCGUUA